UGCUUGAGGAAGAUUAUCACUGAGCUAACAUCUGUGCCAGUCUUCCUCUAUUUUGUAUGUGGGAUGCCACCAACUGCAUGGCUUGGUGAGCAGUGUGUGUGUCCAGACCUGGGACCCGAACCAGCGAACCCCGGGACACAAAAGUGGAGUGCAUGAACCUAACUACUAUGCCACCGGGCCGGCCCUGCUAUUUCUUCUGUAGGAACAUCACAGUCUGGCCACCAGCGAUACUAAGAAGUGGACUCGGGGUCCUGUUUCCUUGGAAGCUGCCAAGUUAAGAUAAGAGUGGAAUGCUGUGUCCAAACCCCUUAGGGCCUGGUUUGGAAACCAAAGCUGCUUCCUUGUGUCAAAGUGACCCACGGGCUCGGCGCCUCCGGGCAAGAGCUGCUGCGCAUUCCCACUGAGGGACGCAGACAGCAGAGCUGCUCAAGUCUGGGAUGUGAGGAAACACAGUUUCCCAGGACACCGUAACUGACGCCCGUGAACGAAAGCAGUUGUUCCAGCUUCACACUUUCUACCAACCCGCACCGGCUUCACCAGACGUUGAGUGGUCUGCCCGCUGGAUUCGCAGGGAACGCAGUUGCAUUUUUACCCAAAGGCAGUACAGACACAGUGAAAGCUUUUAAGAUCUCCAAGUCUUAAACACCUUUCGUCUCCAGAACCGGGCACAUGCCUGGCACGAAGAACCGAAUUGGAGCCUCUCUCCCUGGAAACCAGAGUCUUCAUCUUUCACACACUCCCCUGCGUGAUGUUUGUGCGCACUACGGUUUGAG
rnacentral:lncRNA from 1 species